CAGUCAGUCCGUCCGUCCCAUGAAUAUUUUUCGUCACAUUUUUCUCAGGAACUUCACUACCAGGAUUUCUGAAAUUUGGUUUCAGGCUUGAUAUAAGUCAGCUAUACUGUGUGAUGCGUUUUCAGAUUCAUCACUUGACAACUUCCUGUUCACCGAACACUUGUAUCAUUUUUACACCUGAUAGCCAAGUUGAAAAUUUUUCGUCAACAUUUUUCUCAGGAACUGCACUACCAGGAUUUCUGAUAUUUGGUUUCAGACUUGAUAUAAGUCAGCUAUACCGUGUGAUGCGUUUUCAGAUUCAUCACUCGACAACUUCCUGUUUACCGAACACUUACCAUUUUAAAUUUAUUUCGUCGAAUUUUUCUCAGGAACUAUAAUUCCAGGAUUUCUGAAAUUUGGUUUCAGGAUUUAUAUAAGUCAGCUAUACCGUGUGAUGCGUUUUCAGAUUCAUCACUCGACAACUUCCUGUUUACCGAACACUACUAUCAUUUUACACAUGAUGGCCAAGUUGAAAAUUUUCGUCGCAUUUUUCUCAGGAACUACAAUGCCAGGAUUUCUGAAAUUUGGUUUCAGGGUUUAUUUAAGUCAGCUAUACUGUGUGAUGCGUUUUCAGAUUCAUCACUCGGCAACUUCCUGUUUACCGAACACUUACAUAUUUUUACACUAUUAACAUUAUCCACUUGCGGCGGGGGUAUCAUCAGUGAGCAGUAGCUCACAGUUACACUUGUU
rnacentral:lncRNA from 1 species